rnacentral:rRNA from 1 species
GUAGUCUCGCACAGAUGCAUAUCAAUAAGCGGAGGAAAAGAAACUAACAAGGAUUCCCCUAGUAACGGCGAGUGAAGCGGGAAGAGCUCAAAUUUGAAAUCUUAAAGGGCUUCCCUUUACGAAUUGUAGUUUAAAGAAGUGUUUUCUGUUGAGGUUUUGGUAAAAGUUCUUUGGAAUAGGACAUCAUAGAGGGUGAGAAUCCCGUAUUUGACCUUUACUUUCAACUUUGUGAUACACUUUCAAAGAGUCGGAUUGUUUGGGAAUGCAGUCCAAAAUGGGUGGUAAAUUACAUCUAAAGCUAAAUAUUGGCGAGAGACCGAUAGCGAACAAGUACCGUGAGGGAAAGAUGAAAAGAACUUUGAAAAGAGAGUUAAACAGUACGUGAAAUUGUCAAAAGGGAAGCGCUUGACACCAGUGUUGUUUUUCUGAAAAUCAAUUAAAGAACUGUUUAUGCUAAGUUGUUUAGACUUUAUCAGCUAUCUGUUUAGUUUUGAGCUUUUCUUUAAUGCACUUUUCAGUUAACAAGUCAACAUCAAUUUCUUUUGCUGUAAAAAAGCUUGAGGAAGGUGGCUUGAGAUUCGUCUUAAGUGUUUAUAGCCUCUUGCCUAUGCAGUCGGAGAGAUUGAGGUCUGCAGCGUAGAUCCUUCGGGGCUAAAUGCAUUUGUGCUAAGUUAUAGCAUUUUAUAGACAACUUGUUGACUAUGAUUUGUCUUGUAGCUUACUCGCUUAUGUUAUUUUACCUACGCUUAGGAUGUUGAUGUGAUACUGCGAGC